rnacentral:misc_RNA from 1 species
UGCUCGACGGCCGCUGCCCGCUGCGCUGGGAGCUUGCGACGAGCCAACGGGUCACCGGUCGACGGCCACCCGCGCGCCACCGCGCCAGACUGGGCGCGCCCUCCUCGCCGUGGGUCCUCCACUCCGGGAUCCGGCGGCGGCGGCGGCCUCCCUGCGGCCCUGCCUGCGCCGUGCAGUGCCGCCCCUCGCCGGCGGUCGGCUCAACUCCCUGUCCACCACAGUGCCGAGCCGGCAUCCACCUCCUGCUUCCACCGCCAGUUUGCCACAGUGCCGCGCCGGCCUCCCGUCCCUGGUCGAAGGCCGCCACCGCCACCUACUGAAUUGUGAUAAUGUGAGUGAUUCUCCUCUCCCCAAUGGCCCAAUUCCUC